GGGGGCGCACUGGUUUCGACGGGGGUGAAUGAAGCCAAGGUUGCAGGUCGUGGCGCCGCUGGCCACGUAAAAAGCGGCACAAUCAUAAUUGCAAACGACAAUUACGAUUACGCAAUGGCAGCUUAAUUAAGCUUGCCAUGUCAUAGCUUUGAUGUCUGAUAUUAGCUUUGACAACAAACCCCAUCAGGCUGGCUAUUCUUCCGUUGCACGUCCGGAAGGAGGCGAGAACCUAGCACGCGCUGGCUCAUUUGUUGCCUGUUCAGGGGCGUUCAUUUGGGCGAGAAACAAUACUUGAACUAAACCUGUAGACAUCUUGGUGGAGCAUUCUCGGACGGGAGUUCGAUUCUCCCCGCCUCCACCA
rnacentral:tmRNA from 1 species